GCUACUAUAGUUUAAUGGUUGAACGGUUGUUUCGUAAGCAACAGGUUCCAGUUCGAUUCUGGGUAGUAGCUCCA
rnacentral:tRNA from 1 species